UGGGGAAUUUUGGACAAUGGGGGAAACCCUGAUCCAGCCAUCCCGCGUGUGCGAUGAAGGCCUUCGGGUUGUAAAGCACUUUUGGCAGGAAAGAAACGUCAUGGGUUAAUACCCCGUGAAACUGACGGUACCUGCAGAAUAAGCACCGGCUAACUACGUGCCAGCAGCUGCGGUAAUACGUAGGGUGCAAGCGUUAAUCGGAAUUACUGGGCGUAAAGCGUGCGCAGGCGGUUCGGAAAGAAAGAUGUGAAAUCCCAGAGCUCAACUUUGGAACUGCAUUUUUAACUACCGAGCUAGAGUGUGUCAGAGGGAGGUGGAAUUCCGCGUGUAGCAGUGAAAUGCGUAGAUAUGCGGAGGAACACCGAUGGCAAAGGCAGCCUCCUGGAAUAACACUGACGCUCAUGCACGAAAGCGUGGGGAGCAAACAGG
rnacentral:rRNA from 1 species